rnacentral:rRNA from 1 species
GAUGAACGCUGGCGGCGUGCCUAAUACAUGCAAGUCGAGCGAACAGAUGAGGAGCUUGCUCCUCUGACGUUAGCGGCGGACGGGUGAGUAACACGUGGAUAACCUACCUAUAAGACUGGGAUAACUUCGGGAAACCGGAGCUAAUACCGGAUAAUAUAUUGAACCGCAUGGUUCAAUAGUGAAAGACGGUUUUGCUGUCACUUAUAGAUGGAUCCGCGCCGCAUUAGCUAGUUGGUAAGGUAACGGCUUACCAAGGCAACGAUGCGUAGCCGACCUGAGAGGGGGAGGGACGAAGUGUGAACGGAGCAGCGGUCUAGGGACCAAGGGGAGGGAGCAGUAGCGAAGCUGCCGUAAAUGGGGGAAGAUUGACAGAGGGACGGCGAGUGAGUGAAGAAGGUCAGCGGAUCGUAAAACUCUGGUAGGAAGGAAGAACAAAUGUGUAAGUAACGAAGCACGACUGGACGGUACCUAUUCAGAAAGCCGCGGCUACCGACGU